UCAUUUUCUUCUCCCUUCGGUUUGCUGUCGUCAUUUGCGAGCGCCGCCAUCUCGUGUCCCCGACCUGUGGCGCCGGCCUCAUCUCUCCAACGUGCGCCGCCGGGCUGUUCUCCCGCCCCAUCCUGGUGGAACGCGCCACCGGCCUUGUCUCCCCGCUGGAUCCGGAUGGAGUGCGGCGCCGGCAUCCUGUACACGACGCACGGCGCCGGCAUCCUAUACACGACGCGCGGCGCCGAUCUGUUGUCCCCGGUCGAUACGGGUGGAACGAGCCAGUGGCCUCCUCUCCCCGGCCGAUCCGGAUGGAGCGCAACGCCGGCCUUCUGUCCCCGACGCGCGGUGGCAGCCUCCCAUCCCCGGCCGAUCCUUGUGAAGUACGGCGUCGGCCAACCUCCUCUCCUCAUCGGAUGAGGUCGCCUCCCUCUCCUCGUCCCUCUCCCUGGGGCGGAGCGCGUGGUAGGGUGGAUCGAGGUGGGCAAUUCCACCACGACGACGAGAUUCAAAUCCAACUCCCGGCCCAUUGUCGGCCUCCGUCCCGGCGGCGUGGUUGUGGUGUGCACGAGGUCCUUCCCUUAGUUUGUGCGCGGGAAAGGCUGCUACGCCGUCGACGCGCCAUUCUCCGGCAUUGAAAUUCGCUGCCGGAACGGCACCAUAGCCAUCUUGCCGGCGGAGACGAGGGCGCACGGUGGAUUGAGGUGAGGACGUGGAGCGGCAGGCUCCUCUUCCCGCUCCCCGCGCCGGCAGGCUUCCUCUCCUGUUCCCGCUCCCCGCACGAUGGAGUGCAGUAGCAUUGCACAGCCUGCUGGUCGUCUGGGGAUUGGCCUACUUUGUUCUUUUUUGUGGAGGCUCAAAACAAGGGUUGUCCAUGGCACCCUUGACUAAUAUUGGCGCAAGGCCCUUAGGAGCACCAGUAGCAGCAGCUGAAGGUGUCGUCGGGAGCUUGUAUGCAGAAGAAUGGAGCACCUGAAAGAUGUUGGCAACACCUUGCAUACAAAAGAAUGAAACACAUGAUGUAGAUGUCGUGAAGACCUUGUAAUUAGCCGUGAUUAAGUGAGACUGGGGCGCUGCUGUCCAGGACCCUGUAUAGCAGGCUUGAUUCUCUGAGUUUUGGGUGCUGAUCUUUAUAUUUGUGCAUGAUACAUAUAGUAGGCGAACUGUAAUAUGUGCUUCCGAAUAGAACUUGGCAAACACAUGUUACCUUAUACUAGUGCAUUUGUUUUUCUAUGAACACCCUAUUUUGUGGUUCCGAAUAGAAUUUGGCAAAUAUACGUAUAUGAAUUUGUGCUGGA